rnacentral:lncRNA from 10 species
GCUCUGUCGACUUCCACCUGCUCUGUCGAGACUUCCAAGCCACCUGCCUUAGUCAUUUGGCCCAGAUAUUCUCUGCUCCCUCUUUGAACAAAGGAAGAUAUCCUUUUAUAUCAGACAUUACUUCCCAGGACCCUGGACACUGUGAAUGCCAAACUGUCUGGAGGCUGCCAUGAGCGGCCAAUUUGUGAUCUCUGCUUUACCUGAAUUAUUUCCGUGAAUUGUGACAUCAACCUCGCCAGAUAAGAAAGAAGACUGAAGUUCAGAGAGGUGAAGGGACUGGCUCAGGGGCUACCCCUAUGGUUGCGGGAGCUAAGAUUCCAGCCCAGCAGCGUGAUCCAGAGCCCAUCUGAGCUACCCAGAUCUUCCUGCUGUUAAACCCGUCCUGGGGCAGCUCUUGCCUGAUGGGCUACCUGAGGAACCCACAGGAAAUCAAGGGAGGUGCCUGCAAAGUUGCCGUGGGGUCACAGCCUGCCCUUUGGAAGGGGCUGUUUCUGGGCUGCUGUGACUUCCUGCCAUUAUUUCCUCUCUGUUCUCCCUCUGGAAUGAAUAAAGUACUUCUGAAAAACCAUCAACCCAGUCGAUACGGAAAUGCUGGUCCCUACAAUAGAAUGCUCUGUGGUCAUUAAAAAGAUUAAAAAGGUCAA